GUGUCAAGGGAUGGGAAUCGAACCCACGACCUCCAACUUACCGGGCAGAUGCCAUGACCACUAGGCCACAAGUACA
rnacentral:tRNA from 1 species